rnacentral:lncRNA from 1 species
CUUUAAUACAACGGAAAUAAUUCUUUCAAAAAUCGUUAACCAGUCAAUCACGUGAUCCGAAAAGAAAAAUAAGCGGGAAAUUUUAAAAAAAUACGAAAAAAAAUAUAGCGACGCGGUUGAACGGGAUAGCGACGCGGUCAGUGCAAUAGGACAGCGGGAAAUUGAAAUAGCGCUGAAAAUCGCGGCGCUAAAACGGCCUGGGGAGAACACUGCAUCAUUGCCAGUCACUUCAAUUUAAUUUGCAUACAUUUCCCAAUGUCUGCAUAAAGGUGUUAAUUUUAAUUUAAUGGCAAAUCUGGUACCAGCAGUUUGUUAUAAAAUCAGGAAAACUAAUUUAGGGAAUGGAUGGCAAUUACAAAACAUUAUCUUAUCAUUGUACUUUGUGGUAUGUUGCAAAUUAACUUGAAGUUGUCUGUUGAAUUCCUAUCAUUUUCUUUAUUACUCAUGUCGUCUUUUCAAUCAUGUCAUUGUAAAAUAAAUUUUAUCAACUCUUAAAUUUGUUGUAAUUAAUGAAAAUAAAUAGAUAGAUGGUUGCUGUUGCUGAAUCAGCAUGAUUAGUUUACACAUUAAAUACCUGGAUAUGGCUAUUCCAAUAAAAAUAUGAGUGUUGGACAUCACAUGAUUUUUAUGCCCCACCUACUUAAGGGCAUUAUGUUCUUUCCAUCUGUGUGUCUGUUCCUUUGUCCAUCUGUCUAUCCCACUUCAGAUUAAAAAAAAUGUCAAUGCAGGUUUUCAUGAAGUUUUGACCCCAAUUUCACAGUGCACUGAACAUAAAAAAUGAUAGUGCAAGUGAGGCAUCCAUGUACUACGGACACAUUCUUGAUUUUUCUGUGUUUAAUAAGUGUUGAAGCAAAUAAUUCUGUUACAAAUAAAAAGAAAGUUUGUGGAUGGGUAAAAAAAAGUGUUGUCUAACCUUCCCAUACAUUUUCCCUAGAAUAACCCUUUAAUACACAAAUUUUGAACAAGAGAUACCUAGGGUUUUAUUGAGUUAUUGAUUGAACUUGGUCAAUGGGCAUUAAAAAUUGGAUGGC